AUGAAAAUUGGAAAGGGAAUAGGGUUUUUAGAAAGAAAGUCUCUUCUCUUCUUCUCCGCAGAACAAAUACGAAUGGCGCCGACAGACACAGCCUCCUCCGCUUCUUCAGACAACUCAGCAACGCGGUCAUCAUCAUCCUCGCUGAUCUCCGUCUCUCCCUCCCCCCUGUUCAUCUCUGUCGCGGAACGGUUCCGAUUCCCCUUUCGCCGCGCCGGUAAUCGCCUCUGA